rnacentral:SRP_RNA from 1 species
AAGCUGUAAUGGCUCGGAUGGAGAGACAAUCCCUUUGUCAACUGGUGGGGUGGUGUUAACGGGUUCGAGUCUCGCAGUUGAUCCUCUGAUUCCUCCACACACUCUGGCGGGUAGCCGCCCGGCAGUGGUGAGGAUUAAACACAGGGCCACCGGCGGAGGUUGGCAACAACGCACGUCAACCCUGGGUCAGAGGCAGUGCGACUGCGACAGGAUUCACUCGAGCUGUCCCGGCAGGGAAGGGGGUCUCCACAUCUUUUU